UUAUAUCUCUAGUAUUUUUUCUGUACUAAAUCUAGUGUCUCUGGAAAGUGUAAUGGACACAUUCAGUGCCACAUGAUAGCUGGAAGUGGCUUUCCUAAUGACAGCUACUUCAGGAACAAAGAGAAAAGGAAAUAUUUUGCUGUUCUGGAUAGUGAUGGUGAAAGAAUUAUGGUUAUUGCAAUAUUGCUCCAUUAGACUGAAAUGCAGAUGUCUUUGACAAGAGUUUUCUCUAAGGUAAUAAGCAGUACAGGACUUUCGUAUUUGCUAUGACCAUCAGUACACUGAAGAAUAAACUGAAGGAGAAAGAAGUCUACAUUGAAUUGUAUUGCUGGGUAUUGUCAUGUUGAAAGACUUCAUAACUUCAAGUGCUAAUCUAAUGAAAACUAUUUGUAGUUGUAUUGUUUGCUUGCUCAUUUUUAAUGGCAGAAUCUGUGCAUGGAUAUUGAUAUAUAAUGGAGGUAUAUAAAUUAUUAUAAGUGGUAGCACUAUCUUGAUUAAUUUGUUCUCUUGUUUGCUCAUGAUCCUCUUGAUGCAUGGAAUAGGACUGUGAUUUGAUAAGACAAUAAAUCCAGCUUGAAAGUUCC